AGUACUUAUAAAUGAUUACCAAACUACUUUUUAAAAUUUUCACUUUUAGAAUUUUCUCACAAACUAUCAACGUUGGAAAAAAAAAUCCGCAGCGGAAGCAUCGCGGUAUUUUCAAGAAACCGCGAGAUUUGAGACAUAGACGCUUAAUAAAGGAUGGGAUACAAGAAAAUGGCUUGUCUGCUGGAUCGCGAGAUGAUCUGAAAGUCACGGAAUUUGGGACCCCUGUUGCUACCUGUCCUGCGAUACUGGAGGAGAAAAGAGUUUACAAUCAGUUUACAGGAACCAGUAAUAUCUGAAAUGCCUGGUGACCUAUGGGCAACUUUGAAAGGUAAUUGAUAACUGCAAGAAUUAAUGACUAUUCCAGUGCUCACCUGGCUAUGCCAAAAUCAAAGUCUUUGAACNUUUUUUUUUUUUUUUUUUUUUUUUUUUUGAGUACCAGGAUUGAACACAGGAGCACUUAACCACCACUGGGAUUACAGGCAUGCACCACUAAAUGACCUUCAGGCCUUCACCAAAUGACCAAAGUGACAUCCUGGCAAAAUGGAAUCUUCCAACUUGCCAGCUUCUUGCCAGUAAAGCUCAUUCUCCUCCCAUCUGUCUCUGCAAUUGCUUCAUCAGGUGGCAAAGGAACCAGAACUUUAAUUGUUACAAUUCCAGGAUACAGAGACUUUAAACCUUAUACAAAAAAAAGUAACCUGAUGUAACCAGUUAGAUUUUGUUGUUGUUCUGUUUCUUUGUUCCUACUUUGCAAAACUCACUGUUCUACCAUUGCCUAUUUUAUAUGGUGGAGGCUUCCCUG
rnacentral:lncRNA from 1 species